UACGUAGGGGACCAAGCGUUGUUCGGAUUUACUGGGUGUAAAGGGUGCUCAGGUGGCUUGGAAAGUCAGUGGUGAAAUCGUGAGAGCUUAACUCUCAAACUGCCAUUGAUACUUCUUAGCUUGAGUACGGAAGAGGCUGAUGGAAUUUCAGGUGUAGCAGUGAAAUGCGUAGAUAUCUGAAAGAACACCAGUGGCGAAGGCGGUCAGCUGGUCCGUUACUGACACUAAAGCACGAAAGCGUGGGUAGCAAACAGG
rnacentral:rRNA from 1 species